rnacentral:rRNA from 1 species
UGCGUAGGCGGUUUGAUAAGUCAGCGGUGAAAUAUUUCAGCUUAACUGGAAGGGUGCCGUUGAUACUGUCAGGCUUGAAUUUAGUUGCUGUGGGUGGAAUGUGUGGUGUAGCGGUGAAAUGCAUAGAUAUCACACAGAAUAUCGAUUGCGAAGGCAGCUCACAAAGCUAAUAUUGACGCUGAUGCACGAAAGUGUGGGGAUCAAACA